CGAUUAUGUUAAAUUGCUGAUCGUGUUAUAUACUCGUUAGACAUUGACGUGUAAGGAAAACUGAAAAAUACUUACGCUUUAUAGCUUACAACAGUAGAGUUAUAGUUAAUAUUCGACCACUGUAGUAUCUACAAAGAUUCGAUCGUGUCAUACUUAUGCUAUUUUUGUUUCUUUCUUUCUUCCUUUUCCUUUACCUUCUUUGUUUUAUAUUUUAUUGAGCGACCGACGAUAGUCACAUGACUCUAUGCCGGGUAUUAUCACUAUAUUUAUAAUAUAGACGUGCGUGUCUUUUAUACGUCGUAUCGUUCGUCGAUUUCCCUGGUAGUACUUUUCAAACGAGAACUCUCAUACUCGUUGCAUGAACGACAACAGUGCAAGUGUUACACGGUUACUGUACGCGUGACACGCUACCAACCUUCACCUCCUUUCGCACCUUAACGUCAAAGAGCAGCUGCCGGCGAUAUUUAAAAGUUUAGAUUAUAAUCAAACCGCAACGAAACCUUAAGAAAACCACGACGUUUCAAAGAAAACAACAUCGUUUUUGUAUUAACCUUUUGACCCUUGACAUAAUAUUGCUGUACAGCCAACGAUAAAACUCUGACAUUAUAUCCCUAUAUAAGAGAAGACCAUAUUUCCUUCUACUAUAAAAAAAUAAAUUAGAAUUUUAUUUAUCGCAAACUCAAUGAAUGAAGAAAGGAGAAUAAUUUUAAUUUACGU